rnacentral:rRNA from 1 species
AACGAACGUUGGCGGCGUGGAUGAGGCAUGCAAGUCGCGCGAGAAAGCACCUUCGGGUGUGAGUAGAGCGGCGGACGGGUGAGUAACACGUGACCGAUCUGCCCUUGAUCCUGGGACAACAGCGGGAAACUGCUGCUAAUACCGGAUGGUCCAUCUGGACUGCAUGGUCUGGAUGGUAAAGGUGGGGCUCCUGCGGGACCUACCGAUCGAGGAGGAGGUUGCGGCCUAUCAGCUAGUUGGCGGGGUAACGGCCCACCAAGGCGACGACGGGUAGCAGGCCUGAGAGGGUGGUCUGCCACACUGGGACUGAGACACGGCCCAGACUCCUACGGGAGGCAGCAGUGGGGAAUAUUGGACAAUGGGGGCAACCCUGAUCCAGCAAUGCCGCGUGUGUG